ACCACUAGGUGGCUGCCGAGCUACAUAGGAACUGAAACGCUGGAUCAGCAUAUGGAAAGCCCUUCCAGCCCUGCCCCAGGGACGAUACCAAGUGCCUCUGGAGGAAAGCUUUGAAAAUAAGAAAAAUGGGAGAAUGAGACAGACUUCUAAUCUUUAGCAAACCAUGUAUUAUAAAUCUUGAGUAUAAUCGCAAAUUCACAUAUUUCAUAAAUCUGCAAAGUUCUCAAUCUAAGAAGUAAUCCUCCUUUUAAUAAAAAAAAAAAAAAAACCUCUUGGUAUCGCCCCUUUCUGCGCCCGGACUGCCACUAGACUGGGGUAAGGGAGAAACAGCCUAGAUAGGGUCUGUGCUCUCUUAAAGCAAGGGUUGAGAGUGGAAAGUUUAUUUGGGGGCGAAAACUUGAUUAGAUGUUUCUCUAAUUGAGUGAAAUGAACCGUAAUAAUUCCGAGGAAGUAUCAAAGGAAGAGUCUGUGCUUUUUUCUGCAGACGUUCUUCCUCUUCUACUUUUAGGAUAUCGCAACAACCACCUUCACAAAACCAACUCUUUGAGACUCCAGGUCAUUGUCUUUUCUUUUUUAUGCUGCAUUUGGACUUGAUAUCCUGGACCUAGGGGGCCAAUGGACAAUGGAAGUCAAAACCACUCAAAUAAAGUUCUUCCCAGUGAAGACCAAUGAAUGGGAGUAAAAUGAGAAUCUAGAGGAAAAGGAAGCAAAGACAUCAAAUUAUGUUGGAGACAAUAGGUAGCCACUGGAGAUUGGUGAGCUGGGGAAUAACAGUCAGACAUGUGCACAUCCAUCUAUCUUGUUUAUCAAGUAGAAGAUUUUAAUUUUUGUUCUGAUGACAGAUGAAAGUAUAUCCAGGUAAGAGUACAGUGCCUAUUUCAAGUGUUUAAACAAUCAAAGAAUUAAAGGCAAAGAAAAACAUUUUUAAAUGAAAGGAUAUUAAAAGAUGCUUCUACUUCCAGAGAGAGAACUGAUGACCUCUGAAUUCAGUGAAUCAUACUUUUAAAAAACUUUAUUCAUUUUUAUUGUUUUUUAUGUUUUCUUUUACAACAAGGCUAAUAUAGAAAUAUGUUUGGUGUGACUUCACAUGUAUUAAAUUGCUUUUCUAUAUCAAAGAGGGAAGAAAGGCAGGAGAAGGGAAAGAAUUUCUAGAAAGAACAGAAUAAAAUGCAAAAUUCCUUUUCACUUAAAUUAUGCCAAGGUUUAAGAAAUCCAAAAUCCACACUGAAGUGUUAUUUUUGAAUUCCUUAAACAUUCUCUGGUCUGUCCACUACUUCAUUUUUCUGGAAUGAUAGAGGAGAGACAAGAGUACCUCAUCAAUCUGAGAUUUUCUUCCCCCAAAAUCCUUCCCAGUGUAUACACAUGAUACAUAACAUACAUGACAGAACACAGACUUACAAAAGACCGAUUACACAGACAGUUAAAGCGUGGGUCAGUAGUGAAAUUAAAGUAUCAGGUCGAGUCUCUUCUAGCAUGACUUCUAUUCAUUAGGGCCUCUUUGUCUCCCUUAAUUAUCACAGUCAUUCCUUCUUUUUCCAUCUAAGACUAGUGAGGAUUCAAUUGUAAAUAUGUUGACUUCCCCAGGUACAGGAGACUUUUGUGAAUUCUUCCUCACUCUAGUCUGGUCUAUUACUUCCUCUCUCUCACAGUAAGUGACUGUAAGUCAUAGUAAGUAAGUAAGACAUAGUAAGUAGCUGCCCCUGUAUCCAUCAGAAAAGUGGUCUCUCUGCCAUUUUCAAUGUUACCAUAGGCUCCAGGUGGGAGUUAAAGAACAGGCUCUGACUCCUUUGGUCCCCAGUCUUUGUGAGAGAAAGAAUCCUCUGCUCUCUCUGUUGUUUGGGACAAUCUUUUUCCAAGUAAUCUAUUCCACAGCAGUAGCACAGAGGAAGAACACAAGAAGCCUCUGAAGGCCUUCCAAACUGAUUGCUCCAUCCUUUCUUACAAACACCUUUGAGAUUUGUUGUCUAAAUGCCUCUCAAUCUAUUUACAGAUUCAACCGGAAUCUCACCCUCUUUCUGCUUGGUGUCAUAGACUUUAUUCAGAUUCUUGCUCUGGGGCGUUGUUGCUAUUAUUCCCUGAAUGAUCAUCUUUCUGAGAUGCCUCAUUUUUGUAUGGUGGAAAGAUUUAUUACUAUCCCAGAAAGAAAAUUCCUGUUCACCUCUCAAUCCACUUUGGGCUAUAGAAUUUUCAUUAUCCCAGACCUUUAUAAUACCUUAUCUGAUCUGACUCUGCUCUCCUCCCAUUUCUAGGAGCCUUUCCAUCGCUCUCUUAAAGUUUUUCACUUCAAAGCCACUGAGGGGAACAUUAUCAUAGCCAAUUCCCUGUCUUAAUGCAGUUUCCCUCAGUGGGCUUACUUCACCACUCCACCUAAGAGUAAGUUUCUCUGAUCCUCUACUAACUGUUCAAACUUCUGACUGAGAGGUCUGAAAAGCUUAGGAGGAAGGAUUAAAAUCUCUUCAAGUGGGAAAGCUGCUGCUUAUGAAAUAGGAGGUGGUACUAGUAUAGGGGAAGCAGGAGCAGGAGGAGGAACCAGAUCCUCUCUUUUUUUGACCCCAAUUCUAAAUCACUCCUCUCCUUUUUCUGCCUCUGCCAUUGCUGCUGUUGCUGCCCCUCUCCCUUCAGACACAUUAUUUAACACAGGGGUCUCCACAUCAGAGGGCCAUAGAACUUCAUAAGCCAUCUCCUAAGCAUUCCUAAUUUUUCUCCUAUCAAUGGUCAAAUAUACUUUUUCACAGACUGAACCGCCUGAGGUUCCAAAUCAGGGCCACAAAAUAUUGAUCUCUCAUUCAUUUCUGUUCCUGCCCAGACUAAACAAUAUUUUAUAAGAAUUCUCCUAUCAUAAACUGCAAAACUAGAAGUUAUAUUCCAAGCUUGCAAUUUUAAUUCCAACAGGCUGUCCCAAGAGAUAUAGACUGAUUCUCUCCUGCCCUACUCAGCCUCAUCUAUUAUUGCCUGUUGCUCCUUCACUGUUGUAGAUUGUUUCUGUCCCAUGGUCUUUUUCUAGGAUUUUAAACUCUAACCUUCAAUUAUCAGCAAAAACUAGAAUGUCUAUUCAAUCCUCAAAUACCUAGAGAGUGUCUCUGGCCCAGGGUUAGCACCUCAGUCCAGACCAGCUAACUUCUUCCCUUAUUCAUUCUCUUGCCUGAGAUCGGUGAAUAAGUUUGCUCACUCUCAGACUCACCAGUCCUGGCUAGGAAAACCUGUGUAUUGCCUGAGGUAUCUUACAAACUAACACACUAGUCUCUCAAACCUUAGGCUCACCAGCCUGGAGUACCCUGUGGACUAGCCAGGGCACAAACCUACAAAAUGCCUCAAAAUAUGGCAAUUACCUGACUUACUGUUAUGGGUCCGUCAACCCAAAUUCCCAAGCAAUUUCGUCACUAAAAUGUUCUUUUUGCUUAAAGCAAUGGCUCCUGGCCCCCGACAAGCUGUCCACAGCCUAUCUCAGCCCUCCGAUUCUAUAAACAAAGGAAACUGAAUAGAAUGAUCUCAAACUGCUUACCACACUGGCUAAGUCUAACUCUUGGCCUUUAUCCAGUGUGGAUUUUUUUUUCAAUUUAUCUCUUUUGCUGUUCCCUAUCCUAGUUAAAAAUCUAUAUCUCCUUAUUUGAUAAAAACUGCUGGGAAAAUUGGAAGACAGUGUGGGAAAGACUAGGUUUGGAUCAAUACCUCACACCCUACACCAAGAUAAAUUCAGAAUGGGUGAAUGACUUGAACAUAAAGAAGGAAACUAUAAAUAAAUUAGGUGAACACAGAAUAGUAUACCUGUUAGACCUUUGGGAAGGGAAAGGUUUUAAAACCAAGCAAGACAUAGAAAGAGUCACAAAAUGUAAAAUAAAUAAUUUUGACUACAUCAAAUUAAAAAGUUUUUGUACAAACAAAACCAAUGUAACUAAAAUCAGAAGGGUAGCAACAAAUUGGGAAACAAUCUUCAUAAAAACCUCUGACAAAGGUUUAAUUACUCAAAUUUACAAAGAGCUAAAUCAAUUGUACAAAAAACCAAGCCAUUCUCCAAUUGAUAAAUGGGCAAGGGACAUGAAUAGGCAUUUUUCAGAUAAAGAAAUCAAAACUAUUAAUAAGCACAUGAAGAAGUGUUCUAAAUCUCUUAUAAUCAGAGAGAUGCAAAUCAAAACAACUCUGAGGUAUCACCUCACACCUAGCAGAUUGGCUAACAUAACAACUACAGAAAGUAAUGAAUGCUGGAGGGGAUGUGGCAAAGUAGGGACACUAAUUCAUUGCUGGUAGAGUUGUGAAUUAAUCCAACCAUUCUGGAGGGCAAUUUGGAACUAUGCCCAAAGGGUGAUAAAAGACUGUCUGCCCUUUGAUCCAGCCAUAGCACUACUGGGCUUGUACCCCAAAGAGAUAAUAAGGAAAAAGACUUGUACAAGAAUAUUCAUAGCAGCACUCUUUGUGGUGGCCAAAAAUUGGAAAAUGAGGGGAUGCUCUUCAAUUGGAGAAUGGCUGAACAAAUUGUGGCAUAUGUUGGUGAUGGAAUACUAUUGUGCUAAAAGGAAUAAUAAAGUGGAGGAAUUCCAUGGAGACUGGAACAACCUCCAGGAAGUGAUGCAGAGCGAGAGGAGCAGAACCAGGAAAACAUUGUACACAGAGACUGAUACAUUGUGGUACAAUCGAAGGUGAUGGACUUCUCCAUUAGUGGCAAUGCAAUGUCCCUGAACAAUCUGCAGGGAUCUAAAAAACACUAUCCACAAGCAGAGGAUAAACUGUGGGAGUAAAAACACCGACGAAAAGCAACUGUUUGACUACAGGGGUGGAGGGGAUAUGACUGAGGAGAGACUCUAAAUGAACACUCUAAUGCAAAUACCAACAACAUGGAAAUGGGUUUGAAUCAAGAACACAUGUGAUACCCAGUGGAAUUGCGUGUUGGCUGUGGGAGAGGUGGAGGGAGGGGGGGAGGGAAGAAAAGAAAAUGAUCUUUGUUUCCAAUGAAUAAUGUUUGGAAACGACCAAAUAAAAAUUAAAAAAUUUAAAAAUAUCUUUAUCUCCCUUCUUAAGCCACAUGCAUGCACACAUUCACGGUGUCUUUUUCUCAGCCAAAUCCCUUGAGGGAUGAUGGAAUAAUAUCAGACUCCCACUUGCUCCACUAUGUCUUGGCAGCCAAGUUCUGGCAUCCAAGCCCUGUCACACAUACACACACAAACUUAGAGGGGGAUGAACUUCCCACCUAGGCCCCAAAUCAUACCACAAAAUGCAAAUCCUCAGACUACCCUUCUUGGAAGGAACAAUUACUGCUUGUUUCUCUACAUUAGCCUUCUCACUGCUCUUUCACUACUAUGGUUCUUUAGGAGCAUGAGAGGCCUAAUUUGCCCAUGUGAGCAAAUAAUUCGUUCAGAUAGGCAAACUAAGGCACCUUCUGCUGUUCUAUUUUCCUGGUCAGGGAAUCAUCUGUGUGAAGUAGAAGUUUAAGGGGACCUUAAAAUAUCAAGGUACACCUUCUUUAGCCACUAUUCAAAAAGUCUGAGGAAAACCAUCUUUAAAAUGGAAUAUAUUUAUUGAGGGAGCAAUGUGGAGCAAUGUCUCACAUCGUGGACCUAAGACAAUGUUACCCAGAUUUUACAGAGAGAGAAAGAGAUUUGUGGCCAUACCUCAAAGACAGAGACAGACUGACCUGAUGUACAGAAAAACACUUGACUUAUAGGAAAAUACAAUAGGCUUAUUUCACACAUUCAAUUCUUCCUUCAAAUUAACAUUUUUAAGAAAUGGUGAAGUUGUAGAUAAAAAUUUUAAUCCAGAAAUAAAGGACAGGAACAUUAAAUUGAAUAGCUUUACAGUAGAUACAAAGAAAGGAGAAAUUCAGGGCUGGAUUGAUUACCUGGGAGGUCUGAACAAUGGAUACAAGAGGAUCAUUUCAGCUAUUAGGCAUGAUCUCCUGGGAGAAGCCUCCAGUACAGUGGGAGAGACUUCUAAGACAAAAGGGUACUUAAGAUUUGAUCAUUUGGUCCUUCAUGGUCUGUCUGGAACAUCUCCCUAAGGCAAGUUCCCAAACAAACUCCAAAGACCCAACCCAGAACAUUUAAAGUUGUCAGAAUUUUGUUCUAUAGGGAGAAGAAUGGAGGAGGGGUGGAUUGGUGGGAAUGGAAUCAGCUUUUACUAACUUCUUGGAGGUAUUAGUAACUAUUAAUAACUUGAGAAUAGCACACUAAUUUCUCACUCCAUAAACCUGGGGUCCCUGCCUCCCUAGUUGCUGUUUCCUGGUCCCCUAAAGGCAUAAAAGGGAGAGAUCCAUGUUGGAUCUCUUCUAGAAAAACCAUGUGCCACUGUAUUCUUGAAGAAGGUUCUUAAGUUCAUAGUAGUUAUACAUUUGGCAUAGUUGAUAAUCAAGAAUGCUGAUUGCAUGGUUCAUAUCAUAAUAGAAUUGGGCAUUGUAAAUACAGAAGGCAAGGUAAUACAUGGUGGAGCACUGCAUGGCUCCCUGGCUAAAAAGCACUUUUGCUAUUUGAUUGGAUAAAAAAAGUACCAAAUACAGCAUUUCUUAGUAGUUGACUGCCCUACAGAAGUUUAACUGUCAGUAUAUUAAGAUUGAAAGGAAACUGGCUGAGUAUUGUUAAAAAGAAAAUUCUUUGUUUGGGCUUUGACCUUGAUUAAAGAGGGAAAAUAUGUCAAGGUAGCAAUAUGUUGCCUGGCUGAUGAAUGGAGAUCAACAAAGUAUUCAAGAUGGAGCUAACUUUUUUUGAUAACUUUCAAGAGAUAAAGACAAUUCAGAUAGGUCCAGGUCAUCAAAGGGAAAAGGCCUUUUAAUCAAAGUUCUUCCCCUAUGGGGCUGUGUGAUAUAUAGCAAGUAAUAUAAAGUUAUAGACUAAGCUAUUUCCUGUAUAAUUGAAAAAUCUAUUACACUAAAAAAGAACUACAUUUUCUGGGAGCCUCCUGACUUGCUGUCAUUACAUAGUUUCUGUAGACAGAGGAUAUUAGUGAGUUGGCUGUCCUCUUGGGCCUCUUUCUUGGGCUUGCAGCCAGCAUAGUGGCAAUGGUAAGCUAAGCAUGGGGAUUUUAAGUGGGCUAAUCAUCCAUGGACACGUGGUCUUUAUUUUGUAUCCUCUUUAUUACUUGAUUUCUGAUGAUCAUUAAUAAAUCUUCUAAAAUAUAAUAUUUUAUUAUUGAGACUAAUUUUAAUUUUUACAUUCCUCUAACAGAGCCUUUCCCAACACUGAAUUUACAAGAAGGUCUGGGAACAAUGGGUCACUGAGUCAACAUAAUUUUCAGUAGUGUUCAGCAACUAGAGACAAAACUCUGUUUUUAUGUAUCUUGCAAUGAAAACCAUAGACUAUGAAACCCAAUGUCACACAAAUGAAGGACUCCUAAAGGGGGAGAUUGAAUGACGGUUUUUUUUCUGGUAAUGUAGAUGAAGGAAACUAGAGCAAUUCAUUUUACCAGUUCUUCCCACAAGAACCCUGUAUUACCUGUGAAGAAGGCAGACAACAUAUAGCAGCUUACAUAGAGUCCAUAGAGAGCUGAGCAAACUCUUCAUCACUAUAGCUUUUCCUUAUUUUGCCAUUGUCAAAAAGAGAUAGGGGGUAGCUCAGACCCAGGGUGAGUGGUGUAGGGUUAUUGACCUACCACUGAUUUAAUUAAGAGCAGUUUGCUUUCAUCUGAAAAGAUAUCUAGCUCAGUGGAAAAUGUGAUAAAAACCAAGGAGCACAGACUUAACCUGAAAAGUACCAAAAAGAGCACACAGGAAAUACUAAUGUGAGACUCAAGGUUGCGACACUUGACAUACGUUAAGUCGUAGGACUUCCUUGUAUCUACACUCUUUGUAAACUACUCAUACAAGUACAAAGUUUGACUAUUAUGCUGGCUCCCUAUAUCCCUGGGAAUGACAAAAAUCAGAUGAGGGAAUAACAUUUCCCCAUUAAAAUAGAAUUCUUAUUUUUUUCUUCUUAUAUUAUGGCAACUUCCUAUAGUCUUGGCUGUAAAUGGCUAAGUGAAAUAUUACUGCAUUCUGUUCUACAGACUUGUGGGAUAGAAAUUACUUUAAAUUGGACCUAUACAAGAGCCUAUUUUGAAUUUUUUUCCCUUAUGUUUUUGGUUGUUUUUUCUUUUCUUUUGAUAAUUGACUCAUACACCCCCAUAACUUAACAUUGCAUCCUGAGCUGAACUGGAUGGUUUUUAACACCUACUUCAGGGGGGAUUUUAUUUUAAUUCAAAAUCUAAGAAUUUUGAUUUUUUUGUUUGAGAUUGUAUUUUUUAUGAAAAUCCAAGAAUUUUGAUUUUGUUCGAGAAAAUAUCUUCAAGAAAGAAGCUUGAAACUUCUAUAUCCAGAGAAUGAAUUGUUGCAGAAAGAUGCCAGAAAAUCCACACUACAUCAAGAAGAUCAAGAAUGAACUUUGAAUAUGGUUGAUUGAACUGAACUUUGAUUGAACAUUUAUUGUAAAUGUACACAUUUAUGCCAAAAAGGACUGCCCCUAAUUUGGCUUUCUGUCAAUGUGCCCAGCAAAACAUUGGUUUUUCUUUCAUUCUUUUCUAUUUCCUCCCUCACUACUCUAUUUUCCUCUUAGAAAUUUGAAUAUUAUGUAUAUCCAUAGUUAGAAGUGCAUUUAGGAUUACAAAAUGAUUAUGUUAAAUGAUCAAUGGGGAGACCAGUCGCCCAAUGAUCAUCAGGAGGGAUUGUGAAUCUUGAAAAUUCUCAGAUUUGUGAAUGUUAAAAAAUUCCCCAUUGGGGAAUUUUUCAUUGGGACAAUUCCCUAUUGGGACUAUUCCCCAUUUAAACAGUGAAGCUACUUAGAUCUAAAAUGUGAGAACUCUACUUAGAUAAAAAAUGUGAAGACCUCUACUCCACCCAUACUUAAGACUGCUUUAGGGGAGAAAACUCCUUGCUGAACAAUGAAAAGUACUAAAACCCAUACUUAAGCCAUGCCUGUUUUUAGAACUAAUACAAAAGGUUGCUAAGUACCCAUUAAGGUCAAGCAACUUGUGAAUUUACAAGGAGCAAAGAGGAAAAAAACUUACUCAGAGCUUUCCUGGUGUGAAUUACUCAAAAAUCCACACCUUCUUAGGUGUGGACUAAGAAUGGUCUGUCCUUUGAAAAACGUCUACUGUGAUUGGUAGAUGUAAGAAUUUAGGGGAGGUGACAAAGGAAAAUUUCCCUUUAUAAGGAAAGGAAAAGCUGAAAAACAGAUCUCUCGAUAUCUCAAAAGAUAGUCUCUAAGGAGGUUGUUGAGAGAAGAACAAUCUCUAAGGAGGUCUCUCAAGGGAGGCUGACUCUGGCUGGAACUCCCUCUGGGGAGACUCUGUCCCUCUGAAUCCUCACUUGAACAGAUCUUGUGGUGAGUGAUUAAGGACUGACUGAUCUUUUCUUUUAGGGCUUAGGCCUGGGUUGGCCAGGGAUGCCUGGGCCAGCCUAUUCUUUUCUCAUUCAUUUCCUUUCUCUCUCUCUCUCUCUCUCUCUCUCUCUCUCUCUCUCUCUCUCUCUCUCUCUCUCUCUCUCUCUUUAAUUCCUCAUUGUAUUAUUAAUUAAAAAUCUCUAUAAAACCCAGUUGACUUGGGUAUAUUCAUAAUAGGGAAUAUUUCCCUGGCGACCACCUUAUAUUUGAUUUAAAACAAGACACUGUAGUGAAAACAUAAUUUCUGCUGUCACAAUUUACUCACCCACUCUUAUAUCUAUCACAAUUUAUAUCUUCAACUAUUUUAACUUUUAAAUGCUACAGUGGAUUGAGAGAGAUCUAGAGCUGGGAUGUCCUGUAUUCAAAUUUGGCCUUAGAUACUUCCUAGAUGUGUGACCAAGAGGAAGUUACUUAACUCCCAUUGCCUCACCCUUACUGUUCUUCCUCCUUUAGAACCUAUACACAGUAUUGAUUCUAAGAUAGAAGAUAAGGAAUUUUUUAAAAAUUUAAACUUCUGGGUUAAGAUGGCUGCAGUGUAGAAGCAGGACUCUUCCUCUCCUCACCACCUACUGUAAAGAUUAAAAUUUAGGGGAGACUGAGGCAGGUAGAAAUUAGUUUCUCUCUGUAAGGAGUAUUAUAUUUUUAUGAGGUUUAUUAAAGGUUAAGGAUUAAAGAAAAUACAGAGUAAGAAAGCACAUGCCUAGGCCAGAGAGGCCUAGACAGGAUAAGCUCACAUCAUGGAUGGAAGUCCAAAUGAGACUGAUCCUAUUCACAACCAGGUUUAAAUACCCCAUCUCAUUCUCGGCCCAGGUGAGGUUUUCAGUGAGAUUACAAAGCAUUCUGGGGAAGUGGAGCAAGGGCUUCUGGGGAUUGAAGUCCUGGAUUCGAGUCUAUUUUUUACAUUUCUCCAUAUGAUCAUUUUUGGAAAAAAUUAAUUUUUUCCCCAAAAGGAUCAUGAAAACAUAAUCAACUUAAAGAUUACAAUAAUGUGAGGAUAAGAGGGGGAAAAACCCAAUAAUUGCUGGUCACACUGACAAAAAGCCAGUUAGGGGGCAGUCUCCAUUGGCAUGAAAGUAUACAUACAAAUAAAUGUUCAAUCAACCACAUCCAAAGUUCAUUUUUGUGCACUUGUGGUCUGGAGGCUUCUUCAUGGUAUCUUUUCCAACAGUUCAGUUUCUGGAUUCAGAGAGGUAGCAUCUUUCUUUACCUAAAAUUCUUCUAAAAAGGAAUUUAAACUUUGCAAUUUAAAUAAUAAUUUUUUUUUUACAUUUUCCCAUGUUGUGGGUGAUUGAAAAAUAUGGACCACUUAGGGAUGCAUGCCUGAGGUAUGAGGUAAAAGAACCAAUUGUAAGAGAAAUUAAAAAGACAUUAGAAAAAUCCAAAUAAAAAAAGAAAAUACUGAAUGAAAAUAUAGACUAUCAAAGUCUUAUGUGUAAAAAUUUCAAGUAAAAAAAAUAAAUCUAUAACAGGUCCUUGAAUCAGGGCCCAAUUAGAAUUAUCUAAGCAAUGAUGCAUUUACCCAGUCAAUAGCCAGGACUACAGAAAGGUACCACACUAUGAAAGGCAGAAAAGGGGACCAGAUUAUAUGAGCCAAGGUUCCGGGGAUACUCGUCUGUGAGUAUUUUCAGAGUGAGUGUGGACACAAGGAAAGCCUAUGUCAUAACAAUGUUAAACACAGUAACCUCGAGUCUUCACACUAGGUUCAAGACCUUUGUAUUGGCCUAGAAGGGCAUCAAUUCAUUCUGGAUUGGCUUUUCUUUGGCUCUUUUGUGUAUAUCUUGUCCUGGAAUCAGACAGAAUCAUUAAGCAAAGUCCUAUAAUUUUUUUUAAUAAUUAGUGGCAUCAUUUUUAUAGUCUAGCUUUUGGGGUAUGCAUUAGAAAAUGUGUUUUAAACUUAUAGUACUGAAAAAUCAAAAGGUUAAAGAAAAUCUUAAUGCCGGUGGCAUGUGCUUGAAAUAUAAAAGGAGAAAAAACCUGAAAAAAUAUAUUGCACAUGCAAGAAAAAUAUAAUAAUAAAAGAGCUUUAAAAAAUUCAAAAAUAUAGCUUAUAAUCAUUGACACACUGUGUCAGCUAAGAAAAUAUAGAAUACAAGGCUUUCUCACCAAAAAUGAGAUCCAUUUCCUCUUCAUGCCUGGCCAUGAUCUACUGCGAGUGAAUGCAAAUGAAUUGAACACGGUAACAUUUUUCAUUUUUAAAGAAUAGUAGUACAAAUGUGUAGUUAUCAAUAUCUCCAAAAUUCUCAAUAGCCCAAUUAAUUACAAUAGCAAACAAACACACUAUCAUAUUUCACAUAAGUUGCUGUAUGGCAUUUUUUUAAAUUUAUGGAUAUUUGUCACAAGUUUUUACAGUCAUAACAAUCUUUCAA